AGGAGCCUCUAGCGUUGACCCAACACUUCCUCCCUCCCUCCACACAGCUGCUUCUGCUUCUGUGUCUGUGCCUCCUCCCCUGACUCGGUAGGAGCCGGGCUGUGUCCCAGAGGAGUAGCCAGAGGAAGCAGGGACACACGGAGGUGCCAGGGAGGGUGGCACAGAAACGGAGUGGAGGAGUGGUGAGGACGCUGCUCGUCUUUCUGCCAAAGGAAAUGACUGAGCCGAAGCACAGUUAUCCUGUUGAAAACCAGCUGUCCACCAUCAGCCAACCCAUGAGAUGUGUGAGUCACUAUGGGAUUCUGGCUCCUCCAUCUUCUAUAGAAGCAGUAUCUCCAGGGAACGGUUCUGAGUUCCUGUCUGAUCUGACUUGAGGUCUAGUUAAGAUGUCCCCCCCGGAGGCUGUCUACACAGUUCUUAAGACUGUUUCCAGAAGAAUACAUGAAGAGAAAAAAGUAGGAUCUUCAAGUGAGAAGAAAAUCCCCAUCUCCUGCUCUGAAGUAGGAAUAAAACCCUUUUUCUCACCUGAU